UACGUAGGGGGCGAGCGUUGUCCGGAAUUAUUGGGCGUAAAGCGCGCGCAGGCGGUCGCUUAAGUCUGGUGUUUAAGCCCGAGGCUCAACCUCGGUUCGCAUCGGAAACUGGGCGGCUGGAGUGUAGGAGAGGAAAGUGGAAUUCCACGUGUAGCGGUGAAAUGCGUAGAGAUGUGGAGGAACACCAGUGGCGAAGGCGACUUUCUGGCCUAUAACUGACGCUGAGGCGCGAAAGCGUGGGGAGCAAACAGG
rnacentral:rRNA from 1 species